rfam:Gorilla gorilla gorilla genomic chromosome, chr19, whole genome shotgun sequence
GCCAGGCAUGGCUGCACCUGCCUCUAGUCCCAGCUGCUUGGGAGGUUGAGGCAGGAGGAUCACUUGAACCCAGGAGUUCUGGGCUGUAGUGUGCUCUACUGAUUGGGUGUCCACACUAAGUUCGGCAUCAAUAUGAUGACCUCCUGGGAGCAGAUGACCACCAGCUUGCCUAUGUAGGGGUGAACCAGAGCAGGUCAAAACUCCCAUGCUGGUAGGGCUCACAUCUGUAAUCCCAGCACUUUGGGAGGCCAAGGCGGGCAGAUCACCUGAGGUCAGGAGUUCAGGACCAGCCUGGCCAACAUGGUGACACCCCGUCUCUA